AUUCCUUUCGUGGCAGAAGAUGCACUAGAUAUUGAGGGAAAGAAAGAAGACAUGGAUUACCCUCAGCAGCGAGUUAUAGACACAGAUGCCUCCCCCUUCAAACAUCAUAAUCAUUUUUCUCCGCCUGUGAAAACAGAAGGCGGUUUUGUGCCGAAAGACCCACUAAUUUUGGAUGAGUUUUACGAAAAUGCAGUUACACCAUCUUCGGUAUCCGACGACAAUAAAUCGAUAGCAAAUUGUAUUACCCAUGACGGUGAAGAAAUAAUUCAUGGCCAGUCAAUUGCAUCUGAUUCUCCAUGUACAACUUGUACCUGUUUUUAUGGAAACAUUGCAUGUCAGAAACCAAAUUGUCCCAUUCCUAUACCAGAUUGCGGAAAAUUUAGCAGUCAAGAUCUCGCAUUGUGUUGUCCUCGUUACAUCUGUGGUGAGUAUUUGGUACCUACGUUUACAUUUUUGUUUUUUUAUUUUUCGUGUAUACCUCGUAAAAACCAAAUCAUUCAAUUUGAUGUUCAAAAUGAAAAAAAUUGAGGCGG